rnacentral:rRNA from 1 species
GACUACUGGGGUAUCUAAUCCUGUUUGCUACCCACGCUUUCGUCCCUGAGGGUCAGUUGCACGCCAGUGAGCCGCCUUCGCCAUCGGUAUUCCUCCUGAUAUCUACGCAUUCCACCGCUACACCAGGAAUUCUGCUCACCCCUCAUGCACUCUAGCCCGUCAGUUUCCAAUGCCGUUCCACGGUUGAGCCGUGGCAUUUCACAUCAGACUUGACAGGCCCCCUGCGGACCCUUUACGCCCAGUAAAUCCGAAUAACGCUUGCUACCUACGUAUUACCGCGGCUGCUGGCACGUAGUUAGCCGUAGCUUCCUCUCCCGGUACCGUCAUUUGUUUCGUCCCGGGCGACAGAGGUUUACGACCCGAAGGCCUUCAUCCCUCACGCGGCAUCGCUCCGUCAGGCUUGCGCCCAUUGCGGAAGAUUCUCGACUGCAGCCCCCCGUAGG